AACGUAGGACACAAGCGUUAUCCGGAGUUACUGGGCGUAAAGCGCGCGUAGGCGGCUCGGAAAGUCGGUCGUGAAAUGCCGGGGCUCAACCCCGGGACUGCGUCCGAUACUUCCGGGCUGGAGGUAGGUAGGGGAGAUCGGAAUUCCUGGUGUAGGCGGUGGAAUGCGCAGAGUAUCAAGGAGGAACACCGGUGGCGAAGGCGGGUCUCUGGGCAGUAACUGACGCUGAGGAGCGAAAGCGUGGGGAGCG
rnacentral:rRNA from 1 species